rnacentral:rRNA from 1 species
UACGUAGGGAGCAAGCGUUGUCCGGAAUCAUUGGGCGUAAAGCGCGUGUAGGCGGCCAGAAAAGUCCGCUGUGAAAACUCGAGGCUCAACUUCGAGCUGUCGGUGGAAACUUUCUGGCUAGAGUCCGGAAGAGGAGAAUGGAAUUCCUGGUGUAGCGGUGAAAUGCGCAGAUAUCAGGAAGAACACCCGUGGCGAAGGCGGUUCUCUGGGACGGUACUGACGCUGAGACGCGAAAGCCGUGGGGAGCGAACAGG